rnacentral:misc_RNA from 1 species
GUGGCCACCUCAACCCCGCCGUCACUCUUGGUCUCCUUUUGGGUGGCCACAUCACAGUUGUUCGAUCCGCUCUAUAUUGGAUCGUUCAGUUACUAGCAGCUUCAGCUGCUAGCUUUUUGUUAACGUACCUCACCGGAGGCUUGGUCACUCCAAUUCAUACAUUAGCAAGCGGAGUUGGUUAUAUUCAGGGAGUGAUAUGGGAGAUUAUUCUAACCUUUUCCUUGCUAUUCACUGUGUAUGGAACAAUUGUUGACCCAAAAAAGGGGGCUCUUGAUGGGCUGGGUCCAUUGCUGACUGGGUUUGUGGUGGGAGCCAACAUCUUGGCUGGUGGGGCUUUUUCAGGAGCUUCAAUGAACCCAGCAAGAUCAUUUGGGCCAGCUUUGGUGGCUGGAGACUGGACUGACCAUUGGGUUUACUGGGUUGGGCCUCUUAUUGGUGGUGGGCUUGCUG